CGUUCUUUCAACAAAUAUUUAUUGAGUACCCAUUAUGCCAUAAUAGUCUUAGAAAUAGCCUGAGCAUGGUGGCUCACAUUUGUAAUCCCAACACUUUAGGAGACCAGGCAGGAGGAUGGCUUCAGCCCAGGAGUUUGAGGCCAGACCAGGCAACAUGGCAGUGCACACCUGUAGUCCCAACUACUCAGGAAGCAGAGGCAGGAAGACUGCUUGAGCCCAGGACUUCAAGGCAGAGGUGAGCUAUGAUUGUACCACUGCAUUCCAGCCUGGGCAACAGAACAAGACCCUGUCUGAAAAAAAAAAGCUGGAAAUACUAUUUUAUAAGUUGUAAUAUGUAACAGAUUAGUCUUAAUUGUUGAAUUAACAAGGGAAUCUAAAGUCAAGUGUAGCUUAGAGCUCUCCCUGAGGCAUACCAUUUAAGCUGACUGUACAGAAAUUAAAGUGGACAUGCAUUUUGCUAUCUGGGCAGGUUGCUACUAAUCAAAUUACCACUAUGUGUCUUGGAGGAUGAAUAGGUAAAGAAGGUGAUCAGCAAAGUACAAGUCUUCAAAACUAGAGUGCUUUUCUUCUGGGAAAUAGGGAAAAAAAAGACUUGUUUGUAGAGGGCUAGGCGCAGAAAGGAACUUGAGGAAGAGACCAGAGGGUCACAGGUUUACAUAAUUAAGAAGGAGGUGCACAUAGGAUUCAGAAGUUCAGAAUCAGGACAAUCUAAGUAAACCUGGUCCUAGAGUAGGUUUCCUAUGAUUCCUUUAAAAUGCCUUACAAAAUCUGAAGCUCUAGAACUAAAGCUCAAAGAUAUAGGAAACUUAACUACAGAGGAGGAAAAUGUAACAGCAGAGUCCUCAUAGGGAAGUUUACCUAGAAAGAAGUUUGCUUUUUGGUUUUGUCUAGAUUAUAUUUCUAUUAAAAUAUGAACAUAGUAUUUCUAUAAAAUACUUUGCAAAACUAAGGCAGUUCCUAAAAUGGGGAAGUUUUCAGGAUUACGUUCUCAUGAUUCACUGAUGUUGUGCUUAUCAUAACUAGGUAAGGUGGGGGAGGAAGUUCUAAGAAUGACGGCAUUUACAUGCAAAAACCAAACUGACAUAAACCAGCAUCAUAAAAGAAACAUGCCAUAAGAGAAUGCCCCAGGGCUAAAGUAUGACUUGAAUCAGUGAAAGGCAGGUGCUUCUAACUGGGAAAUGAUCUGAUAGGCUGUUCUGUUGCAGAAUAGACAUGGAUUAGAUUUUUGCACUACUCCACACACCUAUAGGUAGUAGAGUGAAAACCAAAAACCUUGGAGGUUUUAAUGGCAAUAAUCAUAAUUAUUGGGAAAACACUUUUUCUCCUAUGUUAAAGCCACUAUAAAAUAAUAACAUUCUUUCAUUGCUGAAUGCACCCAAAUCAUUCAGCUAUUUCUGUUAUGAAUGAUCUAGAUACUACUCUAUUGCAUUAUGGGAAAUAGCCCAGAUAAACUUUGGAAUAUCUCCAAGUUCUAUGAUUCUCUUGUCAAGAGUACAUGUAAUAUGCGACAUAUAUAUAAUAAAUACACCCAGCAAACACAUAUAUGUAUAUAUGUUUGCAUUUUGCCUAAGACCGUCCCCCUUCAGUAAGUCCAUUUUCUACUCUAAAUUUUGGAUCAGUUUCUGAGUUACCGAACCACCAAAUAUAUAACAGAAACAAACCGGAGAGCAUGGUGGGGAAGUUGGGAUAGUGAAGCAAAUGUGUG
rnacentral:lncRNA from 10 species